rnacentral:lncRNA from 1 species
AUCUUCUUAGAAACUUUUAAAAUCUUCUAGAACCUUCUUGAAUCUUCUUCAAUUGUAUGUUUGUAACAAUCAUAUUCUCAAUUAUAUAAUCUAGGGCCUAUAUAACUUAAUAGGCUAGAUUUAAUUAUAUGAAGUUAAAAAUCAAUUUAUUUCUUCCUAAAUUAGCAAAUUUCAUCUAAUUUUUCAACUCUUGCUUGGAUCAAAGAAUGUCUGUUUCAUCCUCAAAUGAAUUAGUAGAGAUUUUUAAAAUUCCAAUCCUUGAAAUUGAAUGAGGAUCUUUGUUAAAUU